rnacentral:rRNA from 1 species
GACGAACGCUGGCGGCGUGCCUAAUACAUGCAAGUCGAACGAAAUCUUUCGGGUUCUUGCAGCGGAGAAACUUAGCGGGGAGCGUGUUACUAACACGUAAGGAACCUGCCUCAUAGACGGGGACAACUAUUGGAAACGAUAGCUAAUACCGGAUAACAGCAUUAACUGCAGGGCUGAUGUUUAAAAGUUGUUUUUGCUAACACUAUGCGAUGGCUUUGCGGUGCAUUUGCUAGUUGGUGGGGGAAAGGCCUACCCAGGGGACGAUGCAUAGCCCCCCUGAGAGGGUGAUCGCCCACACUGGGACUGAGACACGGCCCAGACUCCUACGGGAGGCAGCAGUAGGGAAUCUUGCGCAAUGGGGGAAAGCCUGAUGGAGCAACGCGGCGUGAGGGAAGAAGGAUUUCGGCUCGUAAAGCGCUGUUGUUAGGGAAGAAGGAAUGUGUAGUAACUAGACACGGUAAUGACGGUACCGGAAGAAUAAGCCACGGCUAACUACGUG